GGGGGAUAUUGCGCAAUGGGGGAAACCCUGACGCAGCAACGCCGCGUGAAGGAAGAAGGUCUUCGGAUUGUAAACUUUUGUCUUUGGGGAAGAAAAAAAUGACGGUACCCAAGGAGGAAGCCACGGCUAACUACGUGCCAGCAGCCGCGGUAAUACGUAGGUGGCAAGCGUUGUCCGGAUUUACUGGGUGUAAAGGGCGUGUAGACGGGACUUAAAGUCAGAUGUGAAAUACCGCAGCUCAACUGCGGGGCUGCAUUUGAAACUUAAGUUCUUGAGUGCAGGAGAGGAAAGCGGAAUUCCUAGUGUAGCGGUGAAAUGCGUAGAUAUUAGGAGGAACACCGGUGGCGAAGGCGGCUUUCUGGACUGUAACUGACGUUGAGGCGCGAAAGCGUGGGUAGCAAACA
rnacentral:rRNA from 1 species